AACGUAGGAGACAAACGUUAUCCGGAGUUACUGGGCGUAAAGGGCGUGUAGGCGGUUUGUUAAGUCUGACGUGAAAGCUCUCGGCUAAACCGGGAGAGGUCGUUGGAUACUGGCAAACUAGAGGACGGUAGAGGCGUGUGGAAUUCCGGGUGUAGUGGUGAAAUGCGUAGAGAUCCGGAGGAACACCAGUGGCGAAGGCGACACGCUGGGCCGUACCUGACGCUAAAGCGCGACAGCAUGGGGAGCAAACGGG
rnacentral:rRNA from 1 species